rnacentral:tRNA from 1 species
AGCACCUAGGCUUAGUUGGUUAAAGCACCUGUCUAAUAAACGGGAGCUCAUGGGCUCAAAUCCCAGAAGUACCU